GGGCCCGCACAAGCGGAGGAACAUGUGGUUUAAUUCGAUGAUACGCGAGGAACCUUACCCGGGCUUGAAAUGCAUCUGACCGAUCAGGAAACUGAUCCUCUAGCAAUAGCAGAUGUGUAGGUGCUGCAUGGUUGUCGUCAGCUCGUGCCGUGAGGUGUCGGCUUAAGUGCCAUAACGAGCGCAACCCUUAUCAUUAGUUGCCAGCGGGUCAAGCCGGGAACUCUAAUGAGACUGCCACCGUAAGGUGUGAGGAAGGUGGGGAUGACGUCAAAUCAGCACGGCCCUUAUGUCCGGGGCGACACACGUGUUACAAUGGGGGGUACAGAGGGUUGCUACCGCGCGAGCGGAUGCUAAUCUCUUAAAGCCUCUCUCAGUUCGGAUCGGAGUCUGUAACUCGACUCCGUGAAGCUGGAUUCGCUAGUAAUCGCGCAUCAGCCAUGGCGCGGUGAAUACGUUCCCGGGCCUU
rnacentral:rRNA from 1 species